rnacentral:rRNA from 1 species
GGUGAGUAACACGUGAGCAAUCUGCCCCUGACUCUGGGAUAAGCGCUGGAAACGGCGUCUAAUACUGGAUACGAGCUGCGAAGGCAUCUUCAGCAGCUGGAAAGAACUUCGGUCAGGGAUGAGCUCGCGGCCUAUCAGCUAGUUGGUGAGGUAAUGGCUCACCAAGGCGUCGACGGGUAGCCGGCCUGAGAGGGUGACCGGCCACACUGGGACUGAGACACGGCCCAGACUCCUACGGGAGGCAGCAGUGGGGAAUAUUGCACAAUGGGCGAAAGCCUGAUGCAGCAACGCCGCGUGAGGGACGACGGCCUUCGGGUUGUAAACCUCUUUUAGCAGGGAAGAAGCGAAAGUGACGGUACCUGCAGAAAAAGCGCCGGCUAACUACGUGCCAGCAGCCGCGGUAAUACGUAGGGCGCAAGCGUUAUCCGGAAUUAUUGGGCGUAAAGAGCUCGUAGGCGGUCUGUCGCGUCUGCUGUGAAAACCCGAGGCUCAACCUCGGGCCUGCAGUGGGUACGGGCAGACUAGAGUGCGGUAGGGGAGAUUGGAAUUCCUGGUGUAGCGGUGGAAUGCGCAGAUAUCAGGAGGAACACCGAUGGCGAAGGCAGAUCUCUGGGCCGUAACUGA